UGGGGAAUAUUGGACAAUGGGCGCAAGCCUGAUCCAGCCAUGCCGCGUGCAGGAAGAAGGCCCUAUGGGUCGUAAACUGCUUUUGAACAAGAGAAAACCCCGGUACGUGUACUGGGUUGAUAGUAUUGUUAGAAUAAGCAUCGGCUAACUUCGUGCCAGCAGCCGCGGUAAGACGAAGGAUGCAAGCGUUAUCCGGAUUCAUUGGGUUUAAAGGGUGCGUAGGCGGACUGAUAAGUCAGUGGUGAAAUCUCUCGGCUUAACCGAGAAACUGCCAUUGAUACUGUUAGUCUAGAGUACAGAUGAUGUGGGCGGAAUAUGACAUGUAGUGGUGAAAUACUUAGAUAUGUCAUAGAACACCGAUUGCGAAGGCAGCUCACAAAACUGUAACUGACGCUGAGGCACGAAAGUGCGGGGAUCAAACAGGAUUAGAUACCCAUGUAGUCCCUGAGCGGGCUGGCAAGGCGCAU
rnacentral:rRNA from 1 species